AGGGUGAAUUAAUAUCAAUAAUUUAUUUUAUUUUUAGUGUAAAUAAAAUAUGUAAGUUGCAAAACAUAAACUUUUAUUGGAUUAUAUAAUGGUCUUCCAUAUUUCUCUAUUUAGAUAUGUAGUAAUGUAAUUAUGACCUUAAUGGCUUUCCUUAUGAUUAAACCAUGCAUGCAGUUGUUGUUCAUGGUCUAUUUAAUUCAUUUUGGUUGGCUAAGCUUAGUGUCAAAGGUUAUAUGUCAUGGGUUUUGUGAGUUCUGUUGGAUUUUUAGAUAGUCAGUUGUAUUCACUAGCAGAGUGUUGAAGGGUGGUUUUCUUUGCAUAUCUUUUGACAUCUUUUUUCUGACUUGAGGUUCCUUGAAAAUCAGUUAUCUUCCUAUUUUUGAUAUUUUGGCUCUGGUACCAUAUAUCUGAGCUGCUAUUUACAUGUCAGAAAUAGAUUUAUUUCUUCAAUAAACUCAUAACCUGUCA